AAACACUUUUUUGAUCCGACCUUUGACGACGAAACGGUAGCGUUUUGAAUAUUGGUUUAUGAGCUAAAUUAGACGUGGAAAAUCAAAAAUCCAAAAAAUUCAAAAUUACACAUCGGAACGAGUCCAAAUUGUGCACACAUGUUGGUGCUAACCUUAAUGUCGUACGAUAAAAAUUUCGGAAAAUUUCGCCAUUAGGGGGCGCAAUAAACGAGGAAAUUGUAUAUCUUCUACAAAAUUUCGCCACGAAAACGCUACACUGACUUCUCGCUACUCCUACCACAGUCAAAUCCUUUGUAUCCACAGGUUCAGGGUAGCGUUUUGAACACAUGCUUCGCGUUGUGCCGGCGAAACGCACAUUUCUUGUCGCGUUGUGCCGGCGAAAUGCACA
ensembl:lncRNA